AGAGUUUGAUCAUGGCUCAGAACGAACGCUGGCGGCGUGCUUAAUACAUGCAAGUCGCGCGAGAAAGUCCCGCAAGGGAUAAGUAGAGCGGCAAACGGGUGAGUAACACGUAAGUAACCUCCCUCUAAAUCUGGAAUAACCUUGCCAACGCGAGGCUAAUACCGGAUGUGGUCACAGUUUCGCAUGGAGCUGUGAUUAAAGGUGACCUCUAUUUAUAAGUUAUCGUUUAGAGAUGGACUUGCGUACUAUUAGCUAGUUGGCGGGGUAAUGGCCCACCAAGGCUGUGAUGGUUAGCCGGCCUGAGAGGGUGUACGGCCACAUUGGGACUGAGAAACGGCCCAGACUCCUACGGGAGGCAGCAGUAGGGAAUUUUGCGCAAUGGACGAAAGUCUGACGCAGCAACGCCGCGUGAGCGAUGAAGGUCUUCGGAUUGUAAAGCUCUGUUGAGUGGGAAGAAAGGUUCUGGGAAUAACACCCCGGAGCGUGACGGUACCAUUCGAGGAAGCACCGGCUAACUACGUGCCAGCAGCCGCGGUAAUACGUAGGGUGCAAGCGUUGUUCGGAAUCACUGGGCGUAAAGGGAGAGUAGGCGGGAAAAUAAGUUAGAAGUUUAAUAUAUAGGCUUAACCUAUAACCUGCUUUUAAUACUGUUUUUCUUGAGUAUUGGAGAGGGAGACGGAAUUCCAGGUGUAGCGGUGGAAUGCGUAGAUAUCUGGAAGAACACCAGCUGCGAAGGCGGUCUCCUGGCCAAAUACUGACGCUGAUGCUCGAAAGCUAGGGGAGCAAACAGGAUUAGAUACCCUAGUAGUCC
rnacentral:rRNA from 1 species